UACGUAGGGGGCAAGCGUUGUCCGGAAUUAUUGGGCGUAAAGAGCGUGUAGGCGGCCAGAUAAGUCCGCUGUGAAAUCUCGAGGCUCAACUUCGAGCUGUCGGUGGAAACUAUCUGGCUAGAGUCCGGAAGAGGAGAGUGGAAUUCCCGGUGUAGCGGUGAAAUGCGCAGAUAUCGGGAAGAACACCCGUGGCUAAGGCGGCUCUCUAGUACGGUACUGACGCUGAGACGCGAAAGCGUGGGGAGCGAACAGG
rnacentral:rRNA from 1 species